CAGUGAUACUCACGCCCUCUAGCAGAGACACGGGAGGACCACAGGCUCCUAUCAGGGUCUGCUGUAGGAAUGCAUUCCAAUCAGACACUUUAUCUCUGAUGCCUGUGUAAGAGAAGAAAUGGUUAUUAUUCAUGUCAUAGAACACAAAGAAACUUGACAUACACAAACUGCUUACAGUUUUACAGGUGAAUAAAACAAUGGUUUCAGUGGAAACAAAUAGAGUUGGCCAAAGCACAGCCAAUGGCUCAGGACAAACAACACCCAAAACGUAAAAUCAACUCAAAGAACCCACCUGAGGCCACUCUGCUGGUUCGUUUCUGCCAACUCCACAGAGACCUACACAACCCUGGGAGGAAGAAACUCAGCUAAGGAACUGCCCCAUCAGUGUGGUCUAUGGGCAUAUCUGCGGACACUUUCUUUUUGUUUUGUUUUAGUCUGGGUUUUUUGAGACAGGCCUUAGCUAGCCUGGAACUCAUAGAGAUCCACCUGCUUUGCCUUCUGAACCCCAAAAUUAAAGCGCUAAAGCAGUCUUUAAGGAUACUAAAACCUUUUUCUUCUGGAUUCCAACACAUACUGAAGACCAGCUGAGACAUCCAGCCUCCUGGA
rnacentral:lncRNA from 1 species